rnacentral:rRNA from 1 species
UACGUAGGGGGCAAGCGUUAUCCGGAUUUACUGGGUGUAAAGGGAGCGUAGACGGCAGAGCAAGUCUGAAGUGAAAGCCCGCGGCCCAACUGCGGGACUGCUUUGGAAACUGCCCGGCUAGAGUGCUGGAGAGGUAAGCGGAAUUCCUAGUGUAGCGGUGAAAUGCGUAGAUAUUAGGAGGAACACCAGUGGCGAAGGCGGCUUACUGGACAGUAACUGACGUUGAGUCUCGAAAGCGUGGGGAGCAAACAGG